rnacentral:antisense_RNA from 1 species
GUAGUCGGCAGAGCAUUGAGAGUUUAGAGGCCGUCAAUUUUUGAAUUCCCAACGUGACUACUUGUUUAUUUGCGCUGCUUUUUUCUUUAUUAACUCCUAUGUUUGUAUACGCCCGAACCUUUUAUUCGGGCUUUUUUUU